rnacentral:sRNA from 1 species
UGAGAAAGUGAAUAGGCGUCCCUUUAUUAAUGUGCAAUGGUUCUUGCAAAUCAACCGAAAUCAUAUAUAUGAAAGUUAGGCAACACUCUCUAUAUGAAUGACACAUCAUCACACAAAAAAAUGACAUGUGUCAUUCUAUCUUUUUUAAAUUAAAAUUU